AUUGUCUACCACUAUUAUUAGCUGCCAGUUAUUGAGUGCCAGCAAUGUGUUCUCCUGCCCUACAGUAGGAGACAGAGCUUUCUCAUCUUCAAAGAGCUCUCAGGAGAGAAGGGAAAUGGAGCUUUGUGUACAUUCUUUGCAAAUACACAGGCUUUCAUCAGAGGCACUUCAGCUGCCCCAAAUCACAGCUUCUCCUAUGACAACAAACAUGUCAAGAUGCGUAAUAAAAGCAGAGCUAGAGCAGCGAACACCUGGCAUGCUGGUCACGCAGAAUGACUUUACAUUGUAAUCAUCUUGUCAAGGAGCUGAAAAUAGCAUUGUGCUGCAGUGUUCACUGGUGCUUCAGGAAGGAAGACAAUAACCAGCAUUUGGCAUCAGCCUACACUCUAACUGAAUGCCAAUUUGUCCCUGGUGGAGCCGGCAGCCCCUGCCAGCUCUCUGCUCAGCACAGGAAUAGCCAGAGGGCUGGGAUGGAUGCACUGGUAAUGCAACACGUGGACUGUUUGUUUGGAGAACUCAAACGAAAGCAGGCAGUAUGAUCAAGAUAAAGCUUUUAAUGAUGUUUGCCUUAUUAUAGUUAUGAAUGCUCUCUAUUGAUUCUCCCCCUCAUUUACCCAAAUUGCUAAGUUGUUUUCAAUUUCUUCCUACAAUUAACAUGAAUGAAGCUGACUGGUGGCUGGCUAGAAAUCUUUGCUACUCAAUCUUCAUUCAUUAACAGAUGUCAUGAACAGUGGUCAGGCACAGAAGAGGUGCCUAAAAUUUAUACCAUACAUGGAAACUAAAUGAAUGACCAAAUGCUUUAGAAAAGACUUGUUUAUUUUAGACUUUAAUUGGUGCAAAACCUGAUGACAUAUGACAACAGAACAGGGGUUUGACGUAAUUUGAACAACAAAAUGGAGUGCAGAAUUGUUCUACUGUGCCAGCCUGAGUUCCUGCCACAUUAUUGCCCUAAAAAUUGCUGUUGUCUCAUUUCUUCAGCACAGAUAUUCCUAGAGAGCAUAUAAGGAAGAACACACAGGAAUUCUAGCUGUCUUCUACUUACAUUUUUCUUAUUGACUUGAAAAAAAUAAUCGCUAAAAAUUUUUAGCUAUACAAAAAAUUCUGAGGUGGUAUGUAAUAGAGAUGUUGGACUAGUGGUCACUGAGUAAUUUGAAUAAUUUGUUGACUGGCAAGAAGCCACAAAGUAGGUGUACUGAGGCCAAGAAGAAGCCAUGACUUUCCAAUUACACACCACUGGCUACAUUUUCAUUUAGUAUACAACAACAGCAGCUGUUUUUUUGCUGCCUUUCUUUUGCAUGCCUACAUCAUUGACUUUCUCCUUAGUAUUGAUCAUUAACAUUUCUAUCCAAAUUUAGCUCUUUUAAGGGGAUGAAGAUGAGUGGACAGUUGCUGCUCAGCUUGUUAACAGCUUGCAUCAGUUAACUCUACCAAACACACUUCCUUCAAGUUCUAGAAACUCCACCUUUCUGACUUUGGAAAAGAAUUGGUGCUAUACCAGGAAAUACCAGAGAAAGCUCAGCUCAUAAUGAAAAUAUGUGAUCUGGAGCACAUUUCUGAUGAAGGAUAUACACAGACUUAAUGAUAAAGGAAAACCAAAAUAUAUACAAGGCGAGCCUCUUCUUUUCUCUUUCCCUCUCCCUUGAUGGCACUCCUACAAUUGCUCUUAUUCCAUUAGCUGUGUUCUGGAUGAAAAAACUUUUUAAAGAGCCAUAAGAAUGAUAAAGAAUUGGAAAAUAUUUGUAUAAUAUAAAGCCUAAGAAGCUCAGUGCAUUUAACUUACUUGAAGAAAGGAAGAAGGUACAGGAAUAUAUUCUAUAAAUUCUUGUAACAGUAAGAUUAGAAGACACAGCUCUUCAAUCUAUCCCACAAAUGUGUAACAGUCUCUAAUGGAAGAUAAUAUUAAAUAAAUCUAGCCUAGGAGGGAGGUGCAAUUUAAAAAGUGCAGGUAGUUAAACAGAGGACCAAUUUUUCAGCUUUAGAAUAGAUACUGAUUUCACACAAUCUUACAACACAAAUGGGCCUAUUUAUAAAAUAUAUUUCUCUGGCUGUUAAAAUAUAUAUAUAAAAUAUAUUUAACUAUGGCUGUUGAAAUCAGCUAGCAAAGUGACAGAUUUCCCGAAAUUCUACAUUGAAGGUCUGACCACAAAAAUCCUUUAUAAUCUUAGUUUUAGUAUGUUUUCUGCUGUUACUUCCAGAAUUACUGACACCAGAUAAGUGCAAGUGUAUGUGGUCCCAAUUGCAAAGUAUUUGUUUUUUAAAAAGUACUCCCAUCAACAGUUAGCACUCCUGCAUGGAGAUUAGUUGGAUCUUACUGAAGUACUUCUUAUUAAAUGCUGUUAAACAUUGUCAGUUCUUAUAUGAAACAAAACAUUUUAAAUGAAAAUGUGUGCAUUUUAAAAUAUAUAGCGUUCAUGUUUGCACAAGUUCUUUUGCACCAGAAUAUUAGUAAGCCCCAUGUACAGAGAGAGAGAGGGAAAACAAAAAUCGUGGAAACAAUGCUAGCAGGAAUGAAUACAUACACUCCACUCCCGCAACAGUUUCAGUCCCUGUCUUGGAAAACCAGAUGUUGCCUGUUUGCCUUCUAGUGGCUUGAAUUUAGAAUAGCUUCAGCCAAGAAUAGGCUUUGCAAAAGAGCUAAGUGAAACUGAGAAGAUCACAAUCACUUACUAUUAUUAUAGCAAGCUCUGAAAUGUCAAUAUGCCUCUGGGGGGAAACAUCUGUGAAAUGCCACAUACUCUAUUAAGAAUGUGUAAAAGAUCAGUGGUACAUGUGUAUGUAGCAACUCCAGAGAAUCCUGAUUUCAAAAAGACAAAUGUUUUCCAAGUAGAUAUGGCUUCUCUGAUAAUGGCUUCUUUUCAUUCAAGCAGCUACAUCGAUAUUUUUGGAAAUCUUUGUCACAGCUGCAUCUCUGAAACAGUGGUCUCUGUGGAGCUGCUCUACUUAGUGUGGGAUGGGUCUCCCCUGGCACAACUGGGCCUACUGAAGAUAGGAAAAAGACUGAGUGUGCUUUACAUGUCAUAACGUAAUUUGAAAUGACCUUCACACACUCCUGUCAUUCCGUCAUGGAAUAUUUGUGACUGAGGCUGUAGGCAAGGACUCACAUCUAAGUUGCUGCAAUAUAAAGAGACUACAACAGAUAAUCCUGCUUCUGCUGCUACUGAACAUGUAAACACGUGUUUCUCUGUUUCAUCUAAGGAAACUACAUUGAUUUACAUUCCUGCUAAGGGUUAAACUACAGCAAUAUAUGAAUUUACAUCUGAACUAACCUUUUAUGAUGCGAUAUUUUAAUAUGUACAAAACUGCUCCUCUUAGUGAAUGAAAACUGCUCUAUUAGUGUGAAUGUAUUUGUUUCUGAAAUAUAUUUUUAAUUUGUAGCACAUUUUUACUUGUUAACCAUCUAAACUAUAUUUAAAUUUACAGGAUGACCUUUCACAUUAAUAACACCCUCAGUUCCUUGUUGAGAGGCAUAAACUCAUUCAGAGAUGACCCAUGUCUGUUUGGACAUCAAGGCUGCUGUCCAAUAUUGCUGGUCUUUUUCCUCUCCACUCUGGAAGACUAGUAACUAGCUCUGUGCUAGUUGGACUAAAUUAGUCUGCACUACUCUGAUCUGUUCUGCUGAACACUGAAGGCUUACCAGAAAUCUCUGUUGCUUAUAUGCUGUUCUGCUAAAUUUAAGUGGGUCAGAAACUAUCACCAUGCUGUCACAAAAGCUAUUUUUAAACUUAAUACAGCUCAGAGCUGGAUUAAUGAGUGCACAUCCCUCUAUCUGUGCAUGAGCUCAGUAUGGUCCAGCAGUAAAUUGUGCCUUUGGUAAGCACACGUGAGCGGCAUCUUUCUGUGUCAGUGCUCAUGGCCACCUGUUCAGAUGGCCUAGUGCCCUCUUGCAGUGCGGUCAGACAGCUGACUUUGGGUGCUCAUAAAAGCAAGGACAGGUUUAACCAUACAAGGAAUAUCACUGCAGAUGUCAGCUCUUCAACAAGGCUUCCUGUGGCAACAUACAUAGCAAAUUCCCAUUUCUUGUAUGCUUCUUGUGUGUGUCAGAGUGGUCAAGAAUGCCAAAUUUCUGCUGCAUAAUUCUGGCUGCCAAAAAUAUACGCAUUCUGCAUUGAGAGAAGAUGGGAGAAGAAUACAGAGAGCUGGAUUGCUCCUGUAUCAAUUUCUCUUAAUAAUUAGGUAUUCUAAUACCUAAUUAUUAAGAGAAAUAAUUCUCUUUCUAGGUAGUCUAAUUUCACAGAUCAAAAGAGUAGAUUUUAUUUUCAAUAUGGAAACACUUUUCAUACAUAUGUGAUGGAUCUUUUUUUACAUGAGUUACAAACCCAAGUAUUCAUUUUCUACACAGAAGCCUUCCACAGCUGCACUAAGACAACAAUUCUCAAGUGAUCAGCAGCUGUCUCUGUGUGAGAUGUGGCAGAAGCACUAUGCAAUAGGAAUACUUCUCCCAGCUGUAGUAAGACUGUGUAAGGAUGUUCAAUUACUCAAUGUAUUUCACUUAAUUCAGGUUAUGAAUGAGCCAUUAUUCCAUUAAACACCUGUAUAAGAACAUUUAAA